GGUUAAGCGACUAAGCGUACACGGUGGAUGCCCUGGCAGUCAGAGGCGAUGAAGGACGUGCUAAUCUGCGAAAAGCGUCGGUAAGGUGAUAUGAACCGUUAUAACCGGCGAUGUCCGAAUGGGGAAACCCAGUGCAAUUCGUUGCACUAUCGUUAACUGAAUACAUAGGUUAACGAGGCGAACCGGGGGAACUGAAACAUCUAAGUACCCCGAGGAAAAGAAAUCAACCGAGAUUCCCCCAGUAGCGGCGAGCGAACGGGGAGCAGCCCAGAGUCUGAAUCAGCUUGUGUGUUAGUGGAACGGUCUGGAAAGUCCGACGGUACAGGGUGAUAGUCCCGUACACCAAAAUGCACAGGCUGUGAACUCGAAGAGUAGGGCGGGACACGUGGUAUCCUGUCUGAAUAUGGGGGGACCAUCCUCCAAGGCUAAAUACUCCUGACUGACCGAUAGUGAACCAGUACCGUGAGGGAAAGGCGAAAAGAACCCCGGCGAGGGGAGUGAAAAAGAACCUGAAACCGUGUACGUACAAGCAGUGGGAGCACCUUCGGGUGUGACUGCGUACCUUUUGUAUAAUGGGUCAGCGACUUAUAUUCUGUAGCAAGGUUAACCGUAUAGGGGAGCCGCAGGGAAACCGAGUCUUAACUGGGCGUUAAGUUGCAGGGUAUAGACCCGAAACCCGGUGAUCUAGCCAUGGGCAGGUUGAAGGUUGGGUAACACUAACUGGAGGACCGAACCGACUAAUGUUGAAAAAUUAGCGGAUGACUUGUGGCUGGGGGUGAAAGGCCAAUCAAACCGGGAGAUAGCUGGUUCUCCCCGAAAGCUAUUUAGGUAGCGCCUCGUGAACUCAUCUUCGGGGGUAGAGCACUGUUUCGGCUAGGGGUCAUCCCGACUUACCAACCCGAUGCAAACUACGAAUACCGAAGAAUGUUAUCACGGGAGACACACGGCGGGUGCUAACGUCCGUCGUGAAGAGGGAAACAACCCAGACCGCCAGCUAAGGUCCCAAAGUCAUGGUUAAGUGGGAAACGAUGUGGGAAGGCACAGACAGCCAGGAUGUUGGCUUAGAAGCAGCCAUCAUUUAAAGAAAGCGUAAUAGCUCACUGGUCGAGUCGGCCUGCGCGGAAGAUGUAACGGGGCUAAACCAUGCACCGAAGCUGCGGCAGCGACACUAUGUGUUGUUGGGUAGGGGAGCGUUCUGUAAGCCUGCGAAGGUGUGCUGUGAGGCAUGCUGGAGGUAUCAGAAGUGCGAAUGCUGACAUAAGUAACGAUAAAGCGGGUGAAAAGCCCGCUCGCCGGAAGACCAAGGGUUCCUGUCCAACGUUAAUCGGGGCAGGGUGAGUCGACCCCUAAGGCGAGGCCGAAAGGCGUAGUCGAUGGGAAACAGGUUAAUAUUCCUGUACUUGGUGUUACUGCGAAGGGGGGACGGAGAAGGCUAUGUUAGCCGGGCGACGGUUGUCCCGGUUUAAGCAUGUAGGCUGGUUGUCCAGGCAAAUCCGGAUAAUCAAGGCUGAGGUGUGAUGACGAGGCACUACGGUGCUGAAGUAACAAAUGCCCUGCUUCCAGGAAAAGCCUCUAAGCAUCAGGUAACAUCAAAUCGUACCCCAAACCGACACAGGUGGUCAGGUAGAGAAUACCAAGGCGCUUGAGAGAACUCGGGUGAAGGAACUAGGCAAAAUGGUGCCGUAACUUCGGGAGAAGGCACGCUGGUGUGUAGGUGAAGCCCCUGCGGGUGGAGCUGAGACCAGUCGAAGAUACCAGCUGGCUGCAACUGUUUAUUAAAAACACAGCACUGUGCAAACACGAAAGUGGACGUAUACGGUGUGACGCCUGCCCGGUGCCGGAAGGUUAAUUGAUGGGGUUAUCCGUAAGGAGAAGCUCUUGAUCGAAGCCCCGGUAAACGGCGGCCGUAACUAUAACGGUCCUAAGGUAGCGAAAUUCCUUGUCGGGUAAGUUCCGACCUGCACGAAUGGCGUAAUGAUGGCCAGGCUGUCUCCACCCGAGACUCAGUGAAAUUGAACUCGCUGUGAAGAUGCAGUGUACCCGCGGCAAGACGGAAAGACCCCGUGAACCUUUACUAUAGCUUGACACUGAACAUUGAGCCUUGAUGUGUAGGAUAGGUGGGAGGCUUUGAAGCGUGGACGCCAGUCUGCGUGGAGCCAACCUUGAAAUACCACCCUUUAAUGUUUGAUGUUCUAACGUUGGCCCCUUACCGGGGUUGCGGACAGUGUCUGGUGGGUAGUUUGACUGGGGCGGUCUCCUCCCAAAGCGUAACGGAGGAGCACGAAGGUUAGCUAAUCCUGGUCGGACAUCAGGAGGUUAGUGCAAUGGCAUAAGCUAGCUUGACUGCGAGCGUGACGGCGCGAGCAGGUGCGAAAGCAGGUCAUAGUGAUCCGGUGGUUCUGAAUGGAAGGGCCAUCGCUCAACGGAUAAAAGGUACUCCGGGGAUAACAGGCUGAUACCGCCCAAGAGUUCAUAUCGACGGCGGUGUUUGGCACCUCGAUGUCGGCUCAUCACAUCCUGGGGCUGAAGUAGGUCCCAAGGGUAUGGCUGUUCGCCAUUUAAAGUGGUACGCGAGCUGGGUUUAGAACGUCGUGAGACAGUUCGGUCCCUAUCUGCCGUGGGCGCUGGAGAAUUGAGGGGGGCUGCUCCUAGUACGAGAGGACCGGAGUGGACGCAUCACUGGUGUUCGGGUUGUCAUGCCAAUGGCACUGCCCGGUAGCUAAAUGCGGAAGAGAUAAGUGCUGAAAGCAUCUAAGCACGAAACUUGCCCCGAGAUGAGUUCUCCCUGAGACUUUAAGUCUCCUGAAGGAACGUUGAAGACGACGACGUUGAUAGGCCGGGUGUGUAAGCGCAGCGAUGCGUUGAGCUAACCGGUACUAAUGAACCGUGAGGCUUAACCUU
rnacentral:rRNA from 1 species